rnacentral:lncRNA from 15 species
AAACAGAAGAGGACUGUGUUAUAAAUAGUACAAAACAUUCACAUUCAACUUCUACAGAAAAUACAAUUGUAUUUAUUUUACCCUCUAUAACAUAUUUGACAUAGAGCACUAGAUAAUGACAUCAGUAGAAAAAAAACAUUAGACAUACUAUUUAUUCUCUCUUGCUCUAUUAUCUUUUUUUCAUCCAGUUGUAUGCAUGUUGAGAAUAUGAUAUUUAAAUGUUCUAUUCUAGGAAUAUGAAGACAUUUCCUGACCACAGGCAGAAACUGAUAAAAGAGGAGCAGGAAGCGAUGGAAGGCAUUUACAAAUUAGUCAGGGGACAAUAUUUCCUUGUAGGGCUCAGAAGUCUAACCAAGUCAUUUGCAUGUCCCUCCUUUUCUCUAACAUGUUUACAGAGCAGGACAGGAGCUGAAUGAGAACUGCUGUCUGCAUCGCUCUGCCUGUGAGCUUCUGCUCUGGAGGAAUUUCAGCUCACUCUGCUGCAUCUUCACACAGACUUCUCACUGCCGGGACCAGUUCAACUGAUGCUGCUUAGGACAGUGUAAAACCAGGAAUUAUCAGAGUCCAGUUAUACAGUUUCCCCCCAUGGCGUCUGAAUCAUCUGUUGCCAAGAGGGCCAAUCUGGUGGCAUCCAGGGUCCACUGGAGCCACAUGGACCUUCCUGAGUCAGCUCAGGACCAUGAGGCUCAGGGCCUCAAAGGAAGUUCGAGAAAGGACAGUGUCAAGAAAUGGCUCACCACCACUGUCACUGAGGAAGAUGCAAAGCAAGCGCCACUGCAGGAAGCUGCAGAGCCUCUAAGGAGGAACCCCAGCUGUGACGAUGACCUGGCCCUGGGUGUAGAAGCGUCUUUAUAUGGUAACCAGGGAGUGAGGACAGUUCAGGAGUUUCUGCGGUAAGGAUGCCUCUCUUCUUCUUGUUCUCAUCUCCUGUCAGACGUACAGAGCCACACAGCCAGCAGUGUAGAGUGAGGCUAUCACACAGCACAGUGCUGGAAUUCAUUCUAACACAACUGUUAGAUAUACAUUGUAAAAAUGAAAAUGAGCUGACUUCAGUAUUCUAAAACUUCAGUAACUGUGUAUGAUAUUGGCUGGAAUUAAUCAAGGUCUGUGUUGCAGCACUUCCAUUUCCACAUGCAAUCAUAUAAAGUGAAUAUAUAAACAUGGUACAAAACUCUGAUGACAAAUGUAAGCAUCACAUUUGUAAGGCAGUUUUAACAACUCUAGUUGUAUUCAAAUCAUUUGAACAGGUUUAUUGUGCAAAAUUGUUUCAGAGCCCUCCUUCCAACCUAUAACCUACUUGAAGGUUAUACAAAUUAGGGAUAGAGUGAUUAUCAGCUUGGUUGAUUGUCAGAUCUGAUAUUCAGCCUUUUCCGAUUAUCGGUACUGUUAUUAAAUUGUGCUUCUUGCACUUCAAUGUCCCACCCAGACCAGUAUCUGAUUGUUUACACAGCAUGAAACAUUUAAGAUGACGUUGAAAUGUUCUCUUUUGCAGCAUUUAACCAAACAUGUGCUUUAAGUACUCAAAAUCAUAACAAAAAGUAGAGAAGUAUUAAAAUCAAAAUAUACUAGUAAUUUAUUAGUUGAAUUAUAUUUUGCAUUAAUUAUGUUAAUCUGCAAGCUAAAGUUAUCAGAUACUAUAGCAACUUUCCCGCACUGUUUGAAUGUGCAUGACUGCUUAGUUUCCGUUCUGAUGAGCAGUUGGCACUUUGCAUGGCAUGAAUAUGGUAAAUGGUAAAUGGACCUAUACUUGUAUAGCACCUUUCUCUUCCGACCACUCAAAGCACUUUUACCCUACAUGCCAAAUUCACCCUUUCACACACAAAGCCCAUCAAACGGAAACUAACUCAUUCACACACCGAUGCAGGAGCCGGGGAUCGAACCAAAAACCUUCCAAUUAGUGAACGACCCACUCUGCCUCUGAGCCACAGCUGCCCCAAUAUGAAUGUGUGUGGAAGGGUGAGUGUGACAUGAGUGGUCGAAAGACUAGAAAUUACUUCCCUGGCUCCUCCCGCUGCAUGUCGAAGGAUCCUUGAACAGGAUACUGAACCCCAGUGUUGUGCCGUGUGUGUGAAUGUAUGAAGGAAUUAGUUUCACUUUCCACAAUGAGCAGUGGUACCUUGCAUGACAGCCGCUGCCAUCACUGUAUGAGUGUUUGUGUGUGUGAAAGGGUUAAUGUGACAUGUAAUGUCAAAGACCACUAGAUAAAAAAAUAUUUACAAGAUAGACUAUGUCUCUAAAUAACAGAAGUAGUUUAUAAGAUUGUCUCGUCAUCAGUUUGUGCCAGGUGUGCUUUUCAUCUAACAUGUAACUUUUAUGGAUUCAUAGGCUGCAGAAAGAACUGCUAGUUUGAAGCCUUAGCUGCACCAACUGGGCAAUUACCCUGACAUUCACUGGAGACACACAUGGGAAGUCUAAAUUUUGGGGAGAAAGGACAGAAUUAACAAUUAUGUGAGAUGGUGCAGAAACGUUAUAUAAUAAUUAAUAACUAAAGUAAUCAUAUUUAUUUUGAAAUUAGUAACGAGUAAUGAGUACAACAUUUUAUUUUACUGGAUACAAGUAAUGUUUGUUUGCGUCUCACCUAUGGUCUUGUCUCUGCUAAGAGUUUACUGUUACUAUUGUAAGUGACUAUAUCAGAAAAUAUCAGGCUCUCCAUUUAUCUGUACAAAGAGGUAGCACUGGAACUGGCACUUGAACACCUCCACGCAGAUCUGGUACACCACAUGGUGUAAUUACUCAUGUAUGUACUAUGUGCAUGAACAGGACUACUUACCAGGCUGAUAUCAGAUAAUAUUACAGGAAAGGCAAAACAGUUUAAAUAAAAAAAAAUUAAUUAAUUAAUUUAAUUUCCUCUGUGUACUACUAGAGUGAGGUUUCGUAACACCAGUGUACCAUAGUUUCAAAACCAGUUGUCUGUGUUAUUUAUUGGUUAUGGCUAUUUUGUAGAUAAUUAAAACAGCCCAUACUAGAUUGAUAAUAAAAUACUUUGAGAGGUAGAUCAAUGGAACCGAAUGUAACAGCACAAAAACUAUUUAUCCGGCCAGGGAGUAAGAGGGUUUAAUAGAACUGUUUGUGUUGUGUGUAUGUGUUAGAGAGAGAGCAGACAGUGAGAGUCAUAAAGGCAUUAAAUAUAAUCUGCUUGCAAAAAGAGCAGAUAACCUUAUGCAAAAUGGGCAGAGUGAUUAGAAGAAAUUUCAAUAUCUGUUCCUGUAAUGUGUUAGAGAUAUGAGCUUCAUGGAAAGGAAGUAGUUUUCAUGUUUGUUUGUUUUUUUUAAAAUCAUUGUUGACCUACCCAACGUCCUCUGGUUAACCCACUAUACUGCAGUGUGUCUUUGACUGACAGCUGGUUCAGACUGUAAUAACAACUUGUGGACCUAAAUUGAUAAUUAGACACGUAACUAAAAGUCAUAUUUACCAGGCAAAUAAGCCCCACCUCCCCCCUCUUCACAGAACCCAGCACAGUUUGCAUAGAAAGUGAAAGGAUCAGAGGAAAGUUAUUACAAUGCUUGACAGCUCCACAGAAAAUAUGAAUCAGCGAAGAGUAGAGGGGAUGAGUAUAAAAGAUCAAGGAAAGCAGGUCAGACAAGGUACUGAUCUCCAAAGACCAGGAGCACAAUGUGAGUAAAAAAGCUGGUAUUCGCAAUAGAUAUGAAUUUUAUUUCUGCUAUGUAACACAGUUCACAUUACAAGUUUUAAAUUUUAUUUGGCUUCUUUAUUAAUGUGUAUGGAGAGAAAAAGACAGAAGAUAGGAGGCUGCAGUUUCUCUGACAUCUGGUUGUGUUAUAUGAAAUUAAGGUGUGGACCCAAAUGCAAACCAUGAAUAGGAACAUUGAACAAAAAGUGUGUGACUGGAACCUUUUGUUGUGUAUUGUACCUGUUAAGGUGGAGCAGGUCAAGUCCAGCUCUCAGCAGGUGGAACAGCUUCAGCUCAGCAACUUCAGGUCACUCUGGACCACUCAGGUUAGACACAGCCUCACACACAUACACACACACACACACACACACACACACACAGAUAGAACUUUUUAUUAGUGUACAGUACAUACUCAGUUC